GGAUCCAGACUUUGAUCCUGGCUCAGGAUGAACGCUAGCUACAGGCUUAACACAUGCAAGUCGAGGGGCAGCAUGACGAUAGCUUGCUAUUGUUGAUGGCGACCGGCGCACGGGUGAGUAACGCGUAUCCAACCUGCCCUUGUCCAUCGGAUAACCCGUCGAAAGGCGGCCUAACACGAUAUGCAGUCCACAGAAGGCAUCUGACGCGGACGAAAUGUGAAGGAGAAGGAUGGGGAUGCGUCUGAUUAGCUUGUUGGCGGGGUAACGGCCCACCAAGGCGACGAUCAGUAGGGGUUCUGAGAGGAAGGUCCCCCACAUUGGAACUGAGACACGGUCCAAACUCCUACGGGAGGCAGCAGUGAGGAAUAUUGGUCAAUGGGCGAGAGCCUGAACCAGCCAAGUAGCGUGCAGGAUGACGGCCCUAUGGGUUGUAAACUGCUUUUAUGCGGGGAUAAAGUGAGCCACGUGUGGCUUAUUGCAGGUACCGCAUGAAUAAGGACCGGCUAAUUCCGUGCCAGCAGCCGCGGUAAUACGGAAGGUCCGGGCGUUAUCCGGAUUUAUUGGGUUUAAAGGGAGCGUAGGCCGUCUGAUAAGCGUGUUGUGAAAUGUCGGGGCUCAACCUGGGCAUUGCAGCGCGAACUGUGAGACUUGAGUGCGCGGGAAGUAGGCGGAAUUCGUCGUGUAGCGGUGAAAUGCUUAGAUAUGACGAAGAACUCCGAUUGCGAAGGCAGCCUGCUGUAGCGCAACUGACGCUGAAGCUCGAAAGCGUGGGUAUCGAACAGGAUUAGAUACCCUGGUAGUCCACGCGGUAAACGAUGGAUGCUCGCUGUUUGCGUCUGACGUAAGCGGCCAAGCGAAAGCGUUAAGCAUCCCACCUGGGGAGUACGCCGGCAACGGUGCAACUCAAAGGAAUUGACG
rnacentral:rRNA from 1 species